rnacentral:rRNA from 1 species
CCCCGUAAACCCGGAAACGGACCGGUUACGGCGUAACCCGAACCGACGAAGGGGGCAGCCGCCACGGUAGGGUCAGGCGACGUGGGGUG